CACAUUAAAGCUGUCUUUCCAUUGUGAUCCAGCUUCCAUUUUGGCUGUUGAGAAAUUAGGGUAGCAGCACACUGGUCCUGGCCAGGUGACUCAGCACAUACGUGAGGGUCAUCACACUGUUGAAGGAGUCCAAAAAGCGUUCUGGCAGCUGAGGCUCCAAAAUGCCUGCCAGCAGAUGUUUCUGUAUAAAAACAGAAAGAGAAAGAGAGAGAGCUCACAUUGCCUGGUUCCUGUAUGCAAAAGUUUCAACUACCACGGCUUAAAGAAGACCAGUAGUCCCACAAGGUGGUUUUCAUGUCCGUGACCCCAGUGUAGAAACUGUGCUGCUGCCUGUUCAAAGUUUCUGCUACCUGUUCAGUCUGCAGAUCACUACCUAGAUCACGAAGGCACAUCAUGAUCAGUGACAACAGCGAUCUGUCGGUGGUUACUCAGGGCAUAUCUGUUUUUCACGUCACACAGACGACAAAAUGUGUUGUUUUGUUGCCAUCUUGUCUCCCCCCUGAAAUGGAUAAUCGAAAGAGGGAAUUGCCCAAGAAAGAUGGAAAUGCAGCAAAGAAGUGAAAAGCGAUGAUGCGAGAAGUGAGCUUGGAUGUGAUUAGGAGACAGCUGAGCAGGGGUAUGAUGAUGCUGUUUGAGACACUGUAGGUGUGUGACCAGAGGAGCUUCAUGAAGGCGAGCUUACCAACAUGAACGAGCCCAGGCUGAAGACAUCCCAGGGGAGGUGACGCUGGUGAAAACUUGGACGUUAAGGGAACUCUGAAACAUCACACGACAGUGAAAGUGCGAAGAAUGCCAUGUUGAAAGCUGAUCAAAAGUUAGAAAGGACUAGGGCAAUCCAUCAAGUCAUAGAAAAUAUACAAUGCGAAGAGGCAAGCACUGUUGAAACUGCUCUUUUUUAUUGAGGUAACGUUGCUUUAUAGCAUUGUGUGGAUGUCAGGUGCACAGCAUUAUAUUUCACUUUCUGUAUUGAUUACAUCGUGUUCCCCACCAGAAGUCUAGUUGCCAUCCGUCGUUGUACCCAUGUGCCCUUUUACCCUCCCUCAACC